rnacentral:lncRNA from 1 species
UGGACCUCCUCCUGGUCGAAGAAGAAGGCCCAAAACAGGGCCUCUCUCAGAAGCUGUGUUGCUUUGGCAGUUCCCAGAAGCUGUGAGCUUCUGUGGUGCAGACUCUCACCUGUGCAGACUAAAAUCCUAAGUUCCAGGGAGUCCUGGAACCAAGAUGGUGACCGCUGCUCCUGAGGCCGAGGCCGUCUCCCGAGCCAGGCGGACACCUGUCCUCUGGUCCGGAUGGUGGCCGGUUAUCUGCGGCCCGCCCAGGCUGCUGCCUCAGCGGCUCUGUGCUUCUGCCCGUCCCAGAAGCUGUCCGGUUCUCUGGCGCACCCUCUAACCUGUUCAGACUAAUUUCCUAAAUUCUGCUGAGUCCCGGAACCAAGAUGGCGACCGCUGCUGCUGAGGCUGAGGCCGCCUCCCAAGCCAGGCGGACACCUGUCCUCUGGUCCGGAUGGUGGCCGGUUGUCUGCGGCCCGCCCAGGCUGCUGCCUCAGCGGCUCUGUGCUUCCGCCCGUCCCAGAAGCUGUCCGGUUCUCUGGUGCACCCUCUAACCUGUUCAGACUAAUUUCCUAGGUCCCGCGGAGUCCCGGAACCCAGAUGGCGACCGCUGCUGCUGAGGCUCUCAUCAACCAGUCAUAAAGGAAAAGU